rnacentral:rRNA from 1 species
ACAGAGGUGCCGAGCGUUAGGCGGAAUCACUGGGCUUAAAGCGUGUGUAGGCGGAUCGUUAAGUACCUUGUGAAAUCCCACGGCUCAACCGUGGAACGGCUGGGUAUACUGGCGAUCUUGAGCGAUCUAGGGGCAGAUGGAACAAGUGGUGGAGCGGUGAAAUGCGUAGAUAUCACUUGGAACGCCAAAGGUGAAGACAGUCUGCUGGGGAUCUGCUGACGCUGAGACACGAAAGCCAGGGGAGCGAACGGGAUUAGAUACCCCGGUAGUCCUGGCCCUAAACGAUGUCGACUAGAUCGUGGUCCCUCUGACGGGUUCACGGUCGAAGCCAAAGUGCUAAGUCGACCGCCUGGGAAGUACGGUCGCAAGGCUA